AACGCGAAGAACCUUACCUGGGCUCGAAGCGCAGUGGACCGGGGUAGAAAUAUCCCUUUUCGCAAGAACCGCUGCGGAGGUGCUGCAUGGCUGUCGUCAGCUCGUGUCGUGAGAUGUUGGGUUAAGUCCCGCAACGAGCGCAACCCUUAUCGUUAGUUGCCAGCGGGUUAUGCCGGGCACUCUAGCGAAACCGCCCCGGAUAACGGGGAGGAAGGUGGGGAUGACGUCAAGUCCUCAUGGCCUUUAUGUCCAGGGCUACACACGUGCUACAAUGGCCGGUACAAACCGUCGCAAACCCGCGAGGGGGAGCUAAUCGCCAAAAACCGUCCUCAGUUCGGAUUGCAGGCUGCAACUCGCCUGCAUGAAGCUGGAAUCGCUAGUAAUGCUAUAUCAGAACGAUAGCGUGAAUACGUUCCCGGGCCUUGUACACACCGGAGUGC
rnacentral:rRNA from 1 species